GGAGGAGGAUCGCCACCGGUGUGCGCGGCCGGACUUCAAAUCCGGGUGGGGCCGUCAGACGGCUUCAGGUGGGUUCGACUCCCAUCCUCCUCCGCCA
rnacentral:tRNA from 1 species